rnacentral:ncRNA from 1 species
AUUAAUUCUUCACCUCCGCAGAAGGUGAUUGAAGUCUGCUAGUGCAAAGAUUAGACUUAUAGAUCCAAUUGUAUUGAUAUUCUAAGGUAUCACUCUUCACAACUGGUGAUAGGACAGGUGAGGUCAUUUGCUUAUAAUUCAGACCUGUGAUAUAUAUGUGCCAGCACACGCGGUCAUACAUUUAGGUCAAGUGGACUUUUGGUAGAGAAGGUAACACGAUUUUGUGUUCAAUUUACCGUUAAAGUGAUAAAAGGUAAAAUUUACUGAUCAUUUUAGUUAAAUUUACACAUAGUUACUAUUAAACAAGUUGGUAAACUAGGAUUAGAUACCCUACUAUUCUUGUGAAUUAUUAAUUUUCUCUAGAAAUUAAAUGAUAUAAUCAUUAAACCUAUGCAGGAGUGGCGGUUCUUGGCCCAAUCAGAGGCUUAUGUUUUAAAUCGAAAUUACACGAACAUCUUACCACAAAUUAUAUUGUCCUUGCACACCGCCGUCGGAAGGGAAAGAGUUAAAUCUGAACCUUUAUCAGCACUCAUAUGUGGAGUACGUGGCUGAACUAAGACAGGUCAAGGUGCAGGUUAUAUUUAUGGGGAAAAUGUAAGUCAUUAUUUGAGUUAUAUAAGUUUAUGAGAUGAAAUCUCCCAUAAUUGUUAUAGAAUUUGACAGUAAAUGGAGUUUAAAAUACUGCAUUGAACAGGGUCCCAAGAGUGUACAAAUCGCCCGUCGCUCCAGGUUGAAUUUAUGUUUAAAUUUUCACUUAAAGUCAUAUUUUCAUUAUUCUUGGAUAAGUCGUAACAAAGUUGCACUACCGGAAGGUGGAGCAGUG